GGAGAGGUGUCCGAGUGGCUUAAGGAGCACGCUUGGAAAGCGUGUGUGAGUUAAUCCGUACCGUGGGUUCGAAUCCCACCCUCUCCGCCA
rnacentral:tRNA from 1 species